AUUUUAAGAGAGGGGAAAAAGACAGAGAGCUAGUGAGAAAGAGAAAGAGAGAUGGGAGGUAUUUAGUUGAGGUAGAAGAGAGAAUAGAAGAGGUAGAAGAUGUGGUUAUAUUAUUCCCACGAAGAUGAUUAAGUGUUUGUUAAUGGCGGCAACUUUAAUAAUCAUAGUGUCGGUGAUGUUGGAGAGGAGUUGAUCAAUCUAUCAAAUCAAGUUGCGACUGAAAAAGUAUAAUUUGCAGCGAGACAUCGUCUUAAUGGAUGUUUUAAGGUAUGAUUGAGAGGGAAUCAGCUCCGGUUCAAAACUACAAAGUUGUAGAGGAGACUGCCAUCUUUCCAAAGAGCCAUUAAAUGCCUCUUUUGGAUUGGAUUUUAGGAAUAUAGAGAUCUCCAAAGUUAGGUGUUUAUGCUGUUUACUGAUGUUGCGACUGAAAUAUUGAAGUCAGUCGCGAGUAACCAUUUUCAGGUGUACAACAAGUGUUGGAGUGCAUAAAUUAAAGGUAUGUAGGGUUUUGUUAGAAUCAUAUGCUAGAAUGAUGGAGGAAAUUUGUUGUCUUUGGCAUCUCAGCUAUAGAUCAUUGGUGUUGUUUGUCCAGGUAUGUAUGGCAUGCAUUCCGUCCCAUUACAUCGUUCUUUAAAGACUUAAGGGCAGAGCAGUCCAAAACAAUGAUCUGGGAAGUUGGUGUAGAUAUGAAGGUGCUAAUGAUGCCAACAAGGAACCUGAUGAAGUUGGUGAAGGUACGAAGUUGCUUAUUCAUAGAGCUGGGGUCAAAUUUUGUAGUCGUUACAUGAUUGGAAACUUAGCAACUAGUACCACGUGUAUUUGUAUACAAUCUAUAAGUUAGUGAAGGUACAAACUUUAUAUGUAUGCAAUCUAUAAGCUAAACAAAUUAUGAUUGUAGCAAUUCACUUUAACAUUCAUCAACGAUAUAUUUGUAUGGCGUUUGGAUGUCAA